rnacentral:rRNA from 1 species
UCGAACGAGAAAGUGGAGCAGUCCAUGAGUACAGUGGCGUACGGGUGAGUAACACGUGGGGAUCUACCUUUUGGUGGGGGAUAACUCUGGGAAACCGGAGCUAAUACCGCAUAAGCAGGGGACUGGAAAGCCGAAAGGCGCCGGAAGAGGAGCCCGCGGCCGAUUAGCUAGUUGGUGAGGUAAAGGCUCACCAAGGCAAAGAUCGGUAGCCGGCCUGAGAGGGCACACGGCCACACUGGCACUGAAACACGGGCCAGACUCCUACGGGAGGCAGCAGUGGGGAAUCUUGCACAAUGGGGGCAACCCUGAUGCAGCGACGCCGCGUGAGCGAUGAAGCCCUUCGGGGCGUAAAGCUCUUUCGGCCGGAACGAUAAUGACGGUACCGGAGGAAGAAGCUGCGGCUAACUACGUGCCAGCAGCCGCGGUAAUACGUAGGCACCAAGCGUUGUUCGGAGUUACUGGGCGUAAAGAGUGCGUAGGCGGUGGCCUAAGUUCGGUGUGAAAUCUCCCGGCUUAACUGGGAGGGUGCGCCGAAGACUGGGUUGCUGGAGUGUGGGAAAGGUAAGCGGAAUUCCUGGUGUAGCGGUGAAAUGCGUAGAUAUCAGGAGGAACACCGGCGGUGUAGACGGCUUACUAGACCAUAACUGACGCUGAGGCACGAAAGCGUGGGUAGCAAACAGGAUUAGAUACCCUGGUAGUCCACGCCCUAAACGAUGCAUACUUGGUGUGGGCAGUUCAUUCUGUCCGUGCCGGAGCUAACGCGUUAAGUAUGCCGCCUGGGGAGUACGGUCGCAA